rnacentral:rRNA from 1 species
CGCAUCUGUGCAUGCAGCAUAUCAAUAAGCGGAGGAAAAGAAACUAACAAGGAUUCCCCUAGUAACGGCGAGUGAAGCGGGAAGAGCUCAAAUUUGAAAUCUUAAAGGGUUUCCCUUUACGAAUUGUAGUUUAAAGAAGUGUUUUCUGUUGAGGUUUUGGUAAAAGUUCUUUGGAAUAGGACAUCAUAGAGGGUGAGAAUCCCGUAUUUGACCUUUACUUUCAACUUUGUGAUACACUUUCAAAGAGUCGGAUUGUUUGGGAAUGCAGUCCAAAAUGGGUGGUAAAUUUCAUCUAAAGCUAAAUAUUGGCGAGAGACCGAUAGCGAACAAGUACCGUGAGGGAAAGAUGAAAAGAACUUUGAAAAGAGAGUUAAACAGUACGUGAAAUUGUCAAAAGGGAAGCGUUUGACACCAGUGUUGUUUUUCUGAAAAUCAAUUAAAGAACUGUUUAUGCUAAGCUUGUUUAGACUUUAUCAGCUAUCUGUUUAGUUUUGAGCUUUUCUUUAAUGCACUUUUCAGUUAACAAGUCAACAUCAAUUUCUUUUGCUGUAAAAAAGCUUGAGGAAGGUGGCUUGAGAUUCGUCUUAAGUGUUUAUAGCCUCUUGCCUAUGCAGUCGGAGAGAUUGAGGUCUGCAGCGUAGAUCCUUCGGGGCUAAAUGCAUUUGUGCUAAGUUAUAGCAUUUUAUAGACAACUUGUUGACUAUGAUUUGUCUUGUAGCUUACUCGCUUAUGUUAUUUUACCUACGCUUAGGAUGUUGAAUCUGUGCGAGACUAC